GAUCUUUUUGUGCCUUUUAAGAUCACUGCCACGAGUAAACGUCUUUCCACACUCUAUGCAUUUAUAUGGUUUCUCCCCUGUGUGGAUCUUGUUGUGGCUUCUAAGUCCACUACCAUGAGUAAACGUCUUUCCACACUCCAUGCAUUUAUACGGUUUCUCCCCUGUGUGGAUCUUUUUGUG